UUCAGAUGCUUGAAACCUUUCCCAAGAAUUUUCACAUCAAAACAGAAACUCAAAUCUCCUUUAAAAAGUACAAGGUUCUUUUACAUGCUUGCAAUUCUUGCCCCUAUUGCCAAAAACAAGAUAAGAGAAAGGGACUGUGUGAACAAAAUCAAUGAUUGAGUACAAAAGUGUUUCUAAAUGGUUCUUCAGACGAGCUGCACCAACGUGAAAACCCUGCCAGCAGGAGAAAAGUGUGCCCAGUUCCUCAUACUCCAGUCAGCACAGGGGCAUUACCACUAUUCUGAAGCUUGGCCAGUUUCAGGAGGAAUAACCAAGGAACAUUGGCAACUACAAUGAACAGGUAGUAUAGUUUCGAAAAGACAGGACCAGUUAAAGGUAUUAGCAUAGCAUCUUUUAGA